rnacentral:rRNA from 1 species
UACAUGAGUGGUAAGCGUUAUCUUUAAUAGUUCAGUGUAAAAAAUCCUACGACUUCCAUAUCAUUUAGUUAUGUUACCUAACGGUUAUUAAAAUUUUCAUAACAAAAAAGUGCUUUAGUCGAAAUAAAUUACUUUAUUUUUUAAAGGUAAAAUUUUAAGAAUUUAAUAAAGUAUUCAAAAAGAAGUUUAUUUAUUUAUUAAAGCUAAGUUUUUAGGAUCAAAGUAUAGGCAUUAAAAAGGAUUAGAGACCCUCGUAAUCUAUACUAUCAAUUAUAGGUAGUAAUAUAAAAUUUAGCUAACGUAAAACUACCUUACUGGGGGACUACAAUCGCAAGAUUCAAACUUAAAAAAAUUGGCGGGACUUUUCAUACGGUGGAACGUGUGGUUUAAUCCGGUAAUCCUCGUAAAACCUUACUAAAACGCUAGUUAUUUUUAUUAAAUUAACUUUUUGUAAACAUUACUAGUAAGUAUUGCAUGGCUGUCGUCAGUUCGUGUUUUAAAAUGUAGCAUUUAGUUGUAUUAACGAACGAAACCCAAGUACUGUAAGUACCUUGGAUGAAGUCAAGUCGUUAUGAUCUACGUGUUUUAGGCUAUACAUGCGUUACUAUUACUAAUAACAAGUGAAUAUUUAAUAAUAAUAUUAAAUGUAUAAAAAUUAGUUUAGAUUAUUCUUUGCAAGUCAAGAAUAUCAAAUCGAAAUCGUCAGUAAUCGUAGUUUAGAAUGAUACGAUGAAGUUUUUUUGAAGUUUGCACACACCGCCCAUCACGCUCGGAGAGUUGAUUUAGCUUAAUUUAAAUAAUUUUGUUUUCCAAAUAAAAUUAUCUAAUCGAAACUAUUUUAGUAAUUUGAGUGAAG